rnacentral:rRNA from 1 species
CACGUAGGGUGCGAGCGUUGUCCGGAAUUAUUGGGCGUAAAGAGCUCGUAGGCGGUUUGUCGCGUCGGCUGUGAAAACUCGGGGCUCAACCCCGAGCCUGCAGUCGAUACGGGCAAACUAGAGUGUGCUAGGGGAGACUGGAAUUCCUGGUGUAGCGGUGAAAUGCGCAGAUAUCAGGAGGAACACCGGUGGCGAAGGCGGGUCUCUGGGCCGAUACUGACGCUGAGGAGCGAAAGCGUGGGGAGCGAACAGG